GGCAACCCUGACGGAGCAACGCCGCGUGUGGGAGGAAGGCUCUUGGGUUGUAAACCUCUUUUCUCAGGGAAGAAGCUCUGACGGUACCUGAGGAAUCAGCCUCGGCUAACUCCGUGCCAGCAGCCGCGGUAAUACGGAGGAGGCAAGCGUUAUCCGGAAUUAUUGGGCGUAAAGCGUCCGCAGGUGGCGAUUCAAGUCUGCUGUCAAAGCACGGGGCUUAACUCCGUUAAGGCAGUGGAAACUGAAUGGCUAGAGUGCCGUAGGGGUAGAGGGAAUUCCCGGUGUAGCGGUGAAAUGCGUAGAUAUCGGGAAGAACACCAGUGGCGAAGGCGCUCUACUGGGCCGCGACUGACGCUGAGGGACGAAAGCUAGGGGAGCG
rnacentral:rRNA from 1 species